ACACGACUACAUUAGAUACCCCCGUAGUCCUAGCCGUAAACGAUACUCGCUAGGUGUCGGCCACGGUGCGACCGUUGUCGGUGCCGUAGGGAAGCCGUGAAGCGAGCCACCUGGGAAGUACGGCCGCAAGGCUGAAACUUAAAGGAAUUGGCGGGGAGCACCACAAGAGGUGGAGCCUGCGGUUUAAUUGGACUCAACGCCGGAAAUCUCACCGGAUAGGACAGACAUAUGAUAGUCGGGCUGAAGACUCUACUUGAUGAUCUG
rnacentral:rRNA from 1 species